rnacentral:tRNA from 1 species
UCCCAGGUAUCUCAAUGGUAAAGAAUCUGCCUGCAAUGCAGGAAACGCAAGAGAUGGAGGUUCCAUCCCUGAUUUGGGAA